GAAAAAGUCUCUCUGUAGGUCAUUUCUAGGCUUGUUCUUUUUUUUUGGGCGUUUACUUUACUGAGUGUCUGCUUGUGGCUGACUCCUUACUGACGUCUGAUCAUCUGUGGGCAGAUACAAAUGGAGACAGACAUCCUCCUCAGCUGCCAGUUUGACCACAAGCUUCUGAAAUUGAUUCGUAAAUUAAUAUUGUCUUCCAGCCUCAGCAGGCAGAGACUGAAAUCUGGAUGGAAUUUACAUAUUAGUCUAAUAGAAAUGAAUGAGGCAUCGGUGAGUGCAGAGCACUAUCCAUCAUCUGCUCUGACACCAGGCGCAGGAGGAGAGAGUCGGCCUUGUUAGACUGUCACAUGAGUAAUAAUAACGAAAUAAUGCAGAGCUGUGGAGAUGUGAUGUGGUGUCAUCGCAAGGAAAAAGACAAGAAGAGGGGCGGUGGAGGUCAGAGCAGAAGAACAGUCUCCUUCACAUCAGAGCGAGUCUGCUGGAAUGAGUGUCACCACUGUGAUGGAGCUGGUAGUCAUUUACAAUAUCAUCACUUUGACUCAGUGUCUGACCGCACAGAAUGCGGGGACUCUCACAUUCUUAUGAUGGUGGGUGGUGUCACUGGUGGUGCAUGCUAAAAGAAUUUCCUGUGCAGGAUUUUCAGGAUUUGAGGAAACUAAGAAAAGUUAGUUUAAAUGAAUGAAUCGGCCAACAAGCCAAUGAAAAAUAAACCUAGAAAAACCAACUGACAUACCAAAGACAAAACAAUAAAAAAAAAAAUCAACAAACAAUAAAUCAAACCAUGAAAUCAAUUUAAUCAACUAAGAAAACAACCAAUCAGUAAGCUAACAAACCCACCAACCAAACAACAAAUUAACCUGAAAACCAAAAAUAAACCAAACAAACUGCCCAACUAUUGUAAUAGACGCGUAAACUGAUCAACUUACAGAUAAACCAACCUACAAAUUUCAUCAAAUGAAGAUUGUGAAAAAUUUCUUUCUUACUUGAAAAAGUCAGUAACAUGAGGAACAAAAUCUCUCCUUCUGUGUCUCUCUUGUCUACUCCAACUCAAGCUAGGCCUGUAAUUUUAGGAAGAUUUUUACCUGUGUCCUUACCUGAGCUGGUCAAGUUAGUUAAUUCAAUGAAAGCAUCCUCCUGCUCUCUUGAUAUUUUACCUGGAUCUUUGUUUAAAAAAUGUCUUUCAGUCUGUUGGUCCCUGUGUGCUCACAAUUAUCAAUACCUCACUGGUUUCUGGUCAGGUCCCUGUUUAUUGUAAGAAUGCUGUUAUUCACCCAC
ensembl:lncRNA